UGAAAAAGGCACAUUGGGAGAUAUAAAUUUGUAAUUGGGAGAUAAAGUCACAGUUUUUGUUUGUUUUUAUUAAUUAAUUUAUUUUUACUCUGAGGCGGAAAUAGGCUCUCAUGUAAACAACCUAUUAAAUCCACAAAAUAAGUUGCAUAAACAUUAGCUCAUUGCAGAGACUGUAUUGAGGGAAUGCUGUGUGGGCUGGGAAAAGUGUGAAUUUGUUUAUGUGAAUGUGUUUGUGUGUGUGUGUGUGCGUUCAACCUAAUUUACAUCGCCAGACAGUGAGAAUGGCCUUGAACUUGACCUCAGGUCUAUUCUCUUGUUCCUCUCCUCCUUCUCACCCUUAAACUCUCAUUGUUGCGUUGUCUGCAUUGACUCCUCUCUCCAGUCCCUCGUCAUUCACACCAGCACGGCGGGCUGUGGUGACCUCGUCCCUGCCGCACACGCCCAUUGGGGCUGUUCGCUUUCCCAUGAGGCAAAUCCAGGGUUCGAAUUCCAUUCCCACAUCCUCCAUUUUGUAUUUACUUGCUUUUUUUUUUUUUUUUUUUUUUUUGUAGCCAAGUGACUUCAGUAGCUUGAACAGGAUUUGCAAACCAGGCAGACAGCGAGUCAGACGCAGCUCAGGACUGGAGUGGAGCUGUCGAAGACACAAUGAAAUGGUGAUUCAUGAGGAUAUAAGUGCUGCUUGAUAAAUGAUAUCCUAGUAAUCAUUAACUCUGCUUUCCCAGAUUUCAUCACAAUGACCAAACUGUUUAGUAACCACUAACAUAUUACAAUGUGUCUGAUAUUGGGUUUGUGUGCACAUUUGUUCGAAUCUCAAAGCUUUAGAUGACAACAUAACAGCCUAUUAACAACUUAACUUGGGUAUAAUUAUUUGAACAGGCAUUUAUAUGUUAAAUUGUGGAUAUUAAAUUAUUAAUGCAUUGUCCUAUUUUUUCUUUCAGGAUUUAUCAUCUAUAUUUUUAUAUAGUACCAUCAGUAUUUGGAAUCUUUGGACAUUUCUUUUAGAAUUUCACAUAUUUUCUUUGUCAUCACCAUGAUAAAACUGGUAUUAGAGCCUCACAACUAUGUUUGACAUUAACAGCUUUAUAGUUUUGAUGUAUAAUUUUACUCAAAAAUGAAUAUUUAAAUCUAAACCAGAUUUAAUGAUGAUCGCAGUCAGUCUUUUUGUUUGGCCCCUUUGUCAUUGACCCCAGCAAAUCGAAGAGCAAUAUUUUUUUUAUUGACAAAGUAAUGUAAGUGUUGAUGUACAGAGCAGUUAGCAGAUAGUGAUGACAGGAAUUGUUCAACAUUUGAUUACUGAGGUAGAGAUUUAAAGACAGUUAUCAGCAUGAGCUGGGAAUCAAAGCUGCGUCCGAAAGCUAAAAAUGCUGUCUUCACAAACAGCAUAUGGAGGAAGCCUACUAAGAUGCCUUCAUCUGGUUGGUUUUGAAGGCUGCAGAUGCAUUCUUGACUGCCAGUGAUGUCCCACAAUCCUGCGCAUAUGGUUUGGCAGUUGGUGGAAAAAAUGGUGUCAGUUGAAAGAGCUCAGAGGGCACAGUGAUGACCAUUUGCUGCACACUGUCUCUUUCACUUCUAAGUUUGCAGCAAACGAACACCUCAGACGGCUGUAACUCAUGCAGGCCGCAGCGAGUGCCAGGUUGGGAGAUUGAGGCUGAAGUUGACGGUGCUUUUGCGCUUGGUACAACGUGGAACUGAAGCAAAGAGGAGGCAUGUGACACAACCUAAGCCCGGAGAACUCCAGAGUUUAGUCGCUCCACGCGGUUCAGACAAGCAACUCGAGGUGUGCAGGUGAUUAAGAAUGCAAGGAGGCGAGAGCUGAUCAAACACCCACAUUUGUCCGUAUUUAUGGUCUGGCAAUGACUCUAUCUUUGUUUGGUUGUCGGAAAAUAAGUGUGAGUGGAAGUUUGGACAUGAUGGUCAAGCUGGUAUCUCUAAGCCAAAUGUGUCGCAAAAAAAAAAAAAAAAAGCGCAUUGGCUUUCAUUCUUUCUUUCGUGAUUUCCCUCUCUCCCUUCGGUUGUCUUCCCUAAAUGAAUGCUCAUUGGAGUGUUACUGUGUCUCUGUCUCCCUCCUCCUGUCCCAGCUGAAUAGAAGAGUGAAUUGAGCAAACAGUCAGCCUGUCAGCUCAAUAGGCAGUCUGACCAUGAACUCCGAGUCCUUCCCAGGCACCCAGCAUCAUCGUCAGGAGGGGGAGGGAGAGACGGGAGGGGGGUGGGAGGGCAGACAGACUCAGACUUUGGGGGGCCCCGGUGCCCAUUUUUUGGGGGAGCCUCGUCGUGGUGGUUCCCAAGGCUGGUGCCUACGUUAAGAGGCGAGAGCAGCUGCUCAGAAAAGAGGAGCCUUGUGUGUAUGUGUGUGUGCAGACGGGAGAGUGUCUGCCCCUUUGCCCAAGCCCCAGCCACCUCGCACGCUCCCAGACGCAAGCUGCUGCAGAUUCUUCGCUCCUUUUUUUUUUAUCUGAUGUGCUUUGGCUUUGUUUUUAUUGUGCAUAAUUUACUGUGCCGUCCCUCUCAGCCGCUCUUCCCCCAGUUUGCCACCUGUUUACUGUGGUGCACUUAGAUUACUGAAAACAAUGACAUGAUUGUAGACCCAGUGUGACUGCAAUCCUGUAAUUCUCUGCUACCUGCAUAAAGAGUUUUAUCACUCUUGAACAAUUGAAUCCUUGUUUUGGAAUUUAAAAAAAAUUGAAAUUGCAUUUUUAUGUGAUAAAAGUGGAAAAGAGGAAAUUAUUGUUUCAUUGCUGCUGUCAUUUUGCUAGAUGGUAUUUUUUUGGACGGAUACAUUUGUUGUUUGUUGUGGGAAAACUCUUUAUGUAGCUGUUCUGCAAGUUUGAUUUUCUCACAUUAACAUCCAUUUUUAAGUGGUUGCACUAGAUAUACACUACCGUUAAAAAAUUUGGGGUCAAAAAGAAUCUUUAAAAAGAAAUUAGUACUUUUAUUCUAUAAGAAUGCUUUAAAUUAAUAAAACGCGACACUAAAGAUAUUUAUCAUGUUACAAAAGAUUUCUAUUUCAAAUAAAUGCUGUUCUUUUGAACUUUCCAUUCAUCAAAGAAUCCCGAAAACAAUGUACAGCACAACUGUUUUAAACAUUGAUAUAAUAAGAAAUGUUUCUUGAGCACCAAAUCAACAUAUUAGAAUGAUUUCUGAAGGAUCAUGUGACACUGAAGACUGGAGUAAUGAUGCUGAAAAUUCAGCUUUGCCAUCACAGGAAUAAGUUACAUUCUAAAAUACAGUAUAUUCAAAAAAAUAAUAGCAAAAAAAAAAGUGUUAUUUUAAAUUGUAAUAAUAUUUCACAAUAUUACUGUUUUCACUGUAUUCUUAAUCAAAGUGCAACCUUGGGGAGCAUAAGACAUUUCUUUCAAAAAUAUAAAAAAACGUACUGUCCCAAACUUUUGAACGGAAGUUUAUAUUUGGCAAUAAAAGUUACUGACUGUAAAAAAGUUGAUAAUAAUCAGAAUACAAUGCUACACUUACAAAAAAUCUACUAAAAAAUAUGUUUUUGGACAUGUGCCAUGGUACUAUCAUUGUGUCAUAUAAUGGGGGUACCAACUAAAUACCAUGGUACCAUAGUGUUGCCAUGAAAUACUAUCACAGUACAACAUGCUACCAGGGCGGCACAGUACUUUUUGUAAGUGUAUACAGCUAACAUACACCUCCUUCUCUUAAACCGAAAGACUGAGCUUUGAACAUCGCUAUUAACAUGCUAGUCCUCCACUGUAUCUCCUAGCUGGCUAUUGUCUGGACUUUCAGUGAUGGGACCUGAACAAAGGCAGCCCUCUGAGAGAAUGAAGGACAAUGGCCUGUAUUGUUUACUUAGCUACCUCACUUAAUCAGGCACAGCCAGCUCUAAUUGGUGUUUUGGUUAAGCGGUUUUUAAACUUAUAGCUUCCUGGCCUUAAUAACAGUGCACCACGGCAAGCUUGCCAUGGAGAACAAUACUGGACUUGUCUGGCCCGCGACUCUUAGAAACCAAGAUGUACUAAAGAGAACCCGUCCUUAUUGAGACUCUCCAUCACACUCCCUCCUUCUACUACUCCGACUUUGCUCUCUCUUAGCUGGUUUUUGCUGUUAGUUUGUCUUUAAAUAUAUGCUAAAUAAUCCAAGAUGUUAGCUUAUGGUUUCUAUAGUUAUGUAAGACUAACCGUUUUGCUCAUUCAAGCUCCUCUCUCAUGGGAAAGCUAAUAUCAUGACGACUAUGGCUGAAAGAUGGAGAGAAGGCUUGCUGUUCUUCUCAAUAAUGGCAGCACGCCAUCGCCGUGGCUGGCAUGGUACGGCGACGGGGCAGCAGAAUCCCUGAUGGCGAUCUAUUCAACGUUGAUGCCCGCAGAUGCAGCUCUGCUUCAGCCAUUGUGCCGGGGAAUGAUUUAAUGCAAACGACUACAAAACAUCUCCCCACCCCCUUCAGCGCCUAUCACAACCAGGACGUGUGAUAUUCACAAUUAACAAACACAUCUGCUGUAAUGAACAGUGCCUUCGAGCAGGGGGAGAGAGAGGGGACAGUGUGUGUAAAAGAGAGAGAGAGAGAGAGGAGGGUGUGAGACACAGGAGAGUGAU